CCUACGGGAGGCAGCAGUGAGGAAUAUUGGUCAAUGGGCGGGAGCCUGAACCAGCAAAGCCGCGUGAGGGAAGAAGGUACAGCGUAUCGUAAACCUCUUUUGUCAGGGAACAAAGGCGGGGACUAGUCCCCGGAUGAGGGUACCUGAAGAAAAAGCAUCGGCUAAAUCCGUGCCAGCAGCCGCGGAAAUACGGAGGAUGCGAGCGUUAUCCGGAUUUAUGGGGUUUAAAGGGUGCGCAGGCGGCCUGUUAAGUCAGCGGUAAAAGCCCGUGGCGCAAACCCGGCGAGCCGUUGAAACUGGCGGGCUGUAGUUGGAGAGAAGUACGCGGAAUGCGCGGUGUAGCGGUGAAAUGCUUAGAUAUCGCGCAGAACCCCGAUUGCGAAGGCAGCGUACCGGCUCCACACUGACGCUGAGGCACGAAAGCGUGGGUAUCGAACAGGAUUAGAUACCCGAGUAGUC
rnacentral:rRNA from 1 species